AACGAACGCUGGCGGCGCGCCUAAUACAUGCAAGUCGAGCGAGAAGGUGUAGCAAUACACUUGUAAAGCGGCGAACGGGUGAGGAAUGCAUGGGUAACCUACCCUCGAGUGGGGAAUAACUAGCCGAAAGGUUAGCUAAUACCGCAUACGUUUCCGGAACUUCGGUUUCGGAAAGAAAGCAAUACCGUGGGUAUUGCGCUCCUGGAUGGGCUCAUGUCCUAUCAGCUUGUUGGUGAGGUAACGGCUCACCAAGGCUUCGACGGGUAGCUGGUCUGAGAGGACGAUCAGCCACACUGGCACUGCGACACGGGCCAGACUCCUACGGGAGGCAGCAGUAAGGAAUAUUGCGCAAUGGACGAAAGUCUGACGCAGCGAUGCCGCGUGGGGGAGUGAAGGUCUUCGGAUUGUAAACCCCUUUCGGGAGGGAAGGAUGGAGUGGGUAACCACUUGGACGGUACCUCCAGAAGCAGCCACGGCUAACUUCGUGCCAGCAGCCGCGGUAAU
rnacentral:rRNA from 1 species